CCAACAACAAAAGUAAGUGUUUUUACCUGUUAUGGGCGGUGAUGGUAUCACUACCGCAUGGAACGCUCGUUUACAUUUCUCACACCUAAUUGCACAGUUUUCAUAACCCUUUGGAUACUCGUAGAGAAUGUAACAGUACGGACAUGCAGUCCAGAAACUCGGCACCUGUGACUCAGUCGCACUUGGCUGGGUCGUGGACAGUGUUGUACGUGAGUCAACGCUAACAGGCUGGGCAGCUGGUCGAGCAGGCUCGGAAGCUUUCAGCUGGGGUGCUGGCCGACUCGGCUCCACUGCUUUCGGCUGCGGAG
rnacentral:misc_RNA from 1 species